rnacentral:lncRNA from 1 species
UCGCUUUCAAAUCUCGGUAAAUGCACAGGAACCUUGAGAACCUACACAUCACUGGGGAGCUUCCGCAGCCUCUUUUCAAACUCCCGGCUAUCCAGACACUGUGAGUGGAAUUAGUGUUAUCUUUGCUCAUAAUAUGUGGUUACAAGAACUAUGCACUCAAUGAACAAAAAAAAAAGAGUAAAGGAAAUUGAACAUGUCAGUGCUAACUAGCAAGGUAAACUGGUGGUGGCAGGGGUCUUAAGGGCAAUAAUUUCAACGGCACACUAACCAUCGGAUCAGACUACAGCAGCACGCUCUCACUGAUUGAUUUGCAGGACAACCAGAUCACCACUCUCGCCGUGAGCGGGGCUCAGUACAACAAGAAACUCAUGUAAGAUCCAUCAAAUAUACCAAGAGAAAUUUUACGGUCCUUUAAAAAGAACUUCGAGGUACCUAAAUUUACACUAAAGAUUUUGGAACCUCGAGUUACCUAGUACCUGGAGGUAUCAAGUUUUACACCAGAAAAUGUGAUACCUCCUGGUACCUUCUCAAGGAUGAUAAAAUUACCCAAUAUACCAAUUCUUCAGUAUGUAGGCGCUCUUAUAUAUGCUUUCAUUCACACUCCCAUGUUUCUCUUCUCAUCACAGACUUGUUGGGAACCCAAUCUGUGUUCAGGGGAACAAUGAGGCACUGUACUGCAAAAGCUCACAGCAAGCGAACCCUGCAGCAAAGCCUUACUCUACUCAAUCCAUUUGUCCUGGAUUACCACCCACAUGCCUGUCGGACCAGUAUCUCAGCCCCAACUGCACCUGCGCGGUGCCAUACAUGGGUACUCUGCACUUCCGGUCACCACCGUUCUUCGACCUAAGCAACGAUACAUUCUUUGUACUCCUCGAGGAAAACAUGAAAGAAGCGUUCCUGGGCAAGCAGCUUCCUGUUGAGUCCAUUGCUCUGGAUAACCCGGCAUUCGGUCCUAGCAACAACUUGGAUAUAAACUUGAGAGUGUUCCCAAGCGGAAAGAUUCGGUUCGGCAAAGAAGAUAUCUCCUACAUUGGGUUCAUGCUCAACAACCAGACCUACAAGCCUCAUGCUCCUGGUAUAAAUUAUGGGCCAUACUAUUUCAUUGGGCAAUCCUACCCAUUCGCUGAGAGUAAGUCAACUGUUCGAAAAUCUCAACUACUGUAGAAUUAAUCCACUACCGAAUUCCUUUUUUUUUUUUGUUGAAGAAUUGGCACUACUGAUUUCUAGACUUCUUCAUGAUUACACAGCACUAUCAGCACCCAGACAGACGAAAAAGAACCAGUCCCUCAUCAUUGGUGUGUCAGCUGGUGGAGCUUUUGUUGUUGUGUCACUGCUUGUUCUUUUUACAGUUCUGUUUUUCAGGAGGAACAAAAGGCCAAAGCUGCAGCCACAACCCAGGAGCCCAUCUUACGGUAAGAAGCAUUGGAUAAAAAAAAAAUCAUGUUUUUUGUCCAUUUGAGUUGACCAACACAUGAGCUGGCAAAUAAAAUUACUUAAAUGGCUGUAGCUUCAUGGGACAUCAAGAGCACCAGCAUCAGCACCCCGCAUCUCCAAGGCGCGCGGGUGUUCACAUUCGAUGAGCUGAAGAAAAUCACAAACAGCUUCUCCGAUGCUAAUGACAUUGGAACUGGUGGCUAUGGGAAGGUAAUAUAUAGUAUAUUUGUUGAAACGGGUAUGUGACUAUCUUUAGUGCCUGACAUCCAAAGCGAUAAUGCUGAUCAAUUGCAGGUCUACAGAGGAGUACUCCCAAAUGGGCAUCUAAUUGCAGUCAAAAGAUCCGAGCAAGGGUCCUUGCAAGGCAACCUAGAAUUCCGGACUGAGAUAGAGCUCCUAUCCAGGGUUCAUCACAAGAACCUUGUCAGCCUUGUGGGAUUUUGCUUUGACCAGGGUGAGCAAAUGCUGGUCUAUGAGUAUGUGCCCAAUGGCACACUCAAGGACAGCCUCACAGGUGUGUCCAUAUGUUCAGUUAUGCAUGACUGAAUCUGCAAUUCUCCUUUGUGAAAAUAAACAUAUUCUGCUCACAUCUUUUUCAGGGAAGUCUGGGGUGCGCCUAGAUUGGAAGAGACGGCUGCGAGUAGUACUUGGUGCAGCGAAAGGCAUCGCGUACCUGCAUGAGCUUGCAGACCCUCCGAUAGUACACAGGGAUAUAAAGUCAAGUAACAUUCUUCUUGAUGGAAACCUCCACACAAAGGUUUCCGACUUUGGUCUCUCCAAGCCUCUGAACCAGGAUGGAAGGGGUCAGGUCACAACUCAAGUGAAAGGAACCAUGGUGAGUUUCACAGCUCUCUUAACUGCAAUACUGCAACGAUUAAGCACAUUGGAUACUGUUUCCUGGUUAUUUUUCAUCAACUCUGUAAGAUGAGUAUACAGAGCUGUUUAAAGAUUAUAAAAUACUUGUCAUGUAGGGAUAUUUGGACCCUGAAUACUACAUGACCCAGCAGUUGACCGAGAAGAGCGAUGUCUACAGCUUCGGUGUGCUACUACUUGAAGUGAUAACGGCGAGAAAGCCAUUAGAGAGGGGAAGGUACAUCGUGCGUGAGGUGAAAGGUGCAAUGGAUAGGACCAAGGACCUAUACGGCCUCCAUGAGCUCCUAGACCCAAUGCUAGCACCCACGUCGCUGGCCGGCUUCGAACUGUAUGUCGACUUGGCUUUGAAGUGCGUGGAGGAGGCAGGAAUGGACCGCCCAUCAAUGAGUGAGGUGGUGGCGGAGAUUGAGAAGAUCAUGAAGAUGGCAGGCGUAAACCCAAAGGUCGACUCGGCAUCAAACUCGAUGAGCUACAACAGCAGGACACCGCGUCAUCCAUACAGUGGAGAGUCUCAAUUUGAUUACAGUGGUGGCAUCCCAUCUUCGUCCAGGGUUGAACCAAAAUGAUCAGUUCGGUCGGCCCACAAUGAUCUCCAUGUAAAUAACUUGGCGCUUGUUUGUUUGUGUACAGUUCAUCAAGGUUCUGAACUGCUUCGUACAGUGACUUUCUUCUGGAAUUUCUGUAUGAUUAAUUAGCUAACAAUCUGGGUGUGUAAGUUGUUGUGCUAGAAAUCUCCUGUUGGUAAUGCCUUUUAUAUACGACACUUUUUUAGUGUUAUCUGUCAUAUAUAUGUUUAACGAUUCUAUGGCGCAAAGGGGAUUUGGGGAAUUUGCUUCUCCAGUAUUAUAACCAAAUAACCAAAGAACCAAAAUUUUUCCCAAAUGCAACAGGCUGACACUGAGAAGAUGAGCAAUUCAUCAUCAUUUUCCUUUCCAAUCGACCAACGGUGUAAUCUAGACUGCGCCCCACAACCACAACAUUGGUUCUGAUUUCACCGAUUCCAGAACUAAUCAAACCUCAUAAACCAAAAUACAGUAAGUAGCUAAACUAGUACUGAUAGUGGGGAUAAACCGAUCGCGCGACAAAACGGGUCGAGAUCUCCGUAAUCUAGUAAUAAAUCGAUCGCGCAAGUAGAUUCAGAUUGGGGGUUAGUGACCAUGGCGGGAGGACGUAGGGGGCUUACUUGGGAUCUGAGAUGGUGCGGCGCGCCUCCUCGUCGACCGAGGCGGCGCGCGCCGGAGAGGGAGGCCCGCGACGGUGGGGGCUGGACGGAGGCAGACAGCGGGCGGCGCCGCGGGAUGGAAGUGGAAACGUGGCUUAGAUCUAAGGCUGUAUUUUUCUGUUCCUAACG